GGGUUGUGAGGUUAAGCGACUAAGCGUACACGGUGGAUGCCCUGGCAGUCAGAGGCGAUGAAGGACGUGCUAAUCUGCGAUAAGCGCCGGUAAGGUGAUAUGAACCGUUAUAACCGGCGAUUUCCGAAUGGGGAAACCCAGUGUGAUUCGUCACACUAUCAUUAACUGAAUCCAUAGGUUAAUGAGGCGAACCGGGGGAACUGAAACAUCUAAGUACCCCGAGGAAAAGAAAUCAACCGAGAUUCCCCCAGUAGCGGCGAGCGAACGGGGAGGAGCCCAGAGCCUGAAUCAGCAUGUGUGUUAGUGGAAGCGUCUGGAAAGGCGCGCGAUACAGGGUGACAGCCCCGUACACAAAAGCGCAUGUGCUGUGAGCUCGAUGAGUAGGGCGGGACACGUGGUAUCCUGUCUGAAUAUGGGGGGACCAUCCUCCAAGGCUAAAUACUCCUGACUGACCGAUAGUGAACCAGUACCGUGAGGGAAAGGCGAAAAGAACCCCGGCGAGGGGAGUGAAAAAGAACCUGAAACCGUGUACGUACAAGCAGUGGGAGCACCCUUUGGGGUGUGACUGCGUACCUUUUGUAUAAUGGGUCAGCGACUUAUAUUCUGUAGCAAGGUUAACCGUAUAGGGGAGCCGUAGGGAAACCGAGUCUUAACCGGGCGUUAAGUUGCAGGGUAUAGACCCGAAACCCGGUGAUCUAGCCAUGGGCAGGUUGAAGGUUGGGUAACACUAACUGGAGGACCGAACCGACUAAUGUUGAAAAAUUAGCGGAUGACCUGUGGCUGGGGGUGAAAGGCCAAUCAAACCGGGAGAUAGCUGGUUCUCCCCGAAAGCUAUUUAGGUAGCGCCUCGUGAAUUCAUCUCCGGGGGUAGAGCACUGUUUCGGCUAGGGGGCCAUCCCGGCUUACCAACCCGAUGCAAACUGCGAAUACCGGAGAAUGUUAUCACGGGAGACACACGGCGGGUGCUAACGUCCGUCGUGAAGAGGGAAACAACCCAGACCGCCAGCUAAGGUCCCAAAGUCAUGGUUAAGUGGGAAACGAUGUGGGAAGGCCCAGACAGCCAGGAUGUUGGCUUAGAAGCAGCCAUCAUUUAAAGAAAGCGUAAUAGCUCACUGGUCGAGUCGGCCUGCGCGGAAGAUGUAACGGGGCUAAACCAUGCACCGAAGCUGCGGCAGCGAACGUAUCACCCAAGACAACUUUACGGAGUUGACGAUUGACGGAGCGAAGCGACGUCAAAGCGUUCAUUAAAGUCGAGUUGGCUUAGGGAUACGUUCGUUGGGUAGGGGAGCGUUCUGUAAGCCUGUGAAGGUGUGUCGUGAGGCAUGCUGGAGGUAUCAGAAGUGCGAAUGCUGACAUAAGUAACGAUAAAGCGGGUGAAAAGCCCGCUCGCCGGAAGACCAAGGGUUCCUGUCCAACGUUAAUCGGGGCAGGGUGAGUCGACCCCUAAGGCGAGGCCGAAAGGCGUAGUCGAUGGGAAACGGGUUAAUAUUCCCGUACUUGGUGUUACUGCGAAGGGGGGACGGAGAAGGCUAUGUUGGCCGGGCGACGGUUGUCCCGGUUUAAGCGUGUAGGUGUGUGUUCCAGGUAAAUCCGGUUCACUUUAACACUGAGGCGUGACGACGAGGCACUACGGUGCUGAAGCAACAAAUGCCCUGCUUCCAGGAAAAGCCUCUAAGCAUCAGGUAACAUCAAAUCGUACCCCAAACCGACACAGGUGGUCAGGUAGAGAAUACCAAGGCGCUUGAGAGAACUCGGGUGAAGGAACUAGGCAAAAUGGUGCCGUAACU
rnacentral:rRNA from 1 species